UACGGGGGGGGCAAGCGUUGUUCGGAAUUAUUGGGCGUAAAGGGCGCGUAGGCGGCUUGGCAAGUGGGUGGUGAAAUCCCUCGGCUUAACCGAGGAACUGCCGUCCAAACUGCUUAGCUUGAGACCGGGAGAGGUGAGUGGAAUUCCCAGUGUAGCGGUGAAAUGCGUAGAUAUUGGGAGGAACACCAGUGGCGAAGGCGGCUCACUGGACCGGUACUGACGCUGAGGCGCGAAAGCGUGGGGAGCAAACGGG
rnacentral:rRNA from 1 species